rnacentral:rRNA from 1 species
AUUGAACGCUGGCGGCAUGCCUUACACAUGCAAGUCGAACGGCAGCACGGGAGCUUGCUCCUGGUGGCGAGUGGCGAACGGGUGAGUAAUACAUCGGAACGUACCCAGGAGUGGGGGAUAACGUAGCGAAAGUUACGCUAAUACCGCAUAUUCUGUGAGCAGGAAAGCGGGGGAUCGCAAGACCUCGCGCUCUUGGAGCGGCCGAUGUCGGAUUAGCUAGUUGGUGAGGUAAAAGCUCACCAAGGCGACGAUCCGUAGCAGGUCUGAGAGGAUGAUCGGCCACACUGGGACUGAGACACGGGCCAGACUCCUACGGGAGGCAGCAGUGGGGAAUUGUGGACAAUGGGGGCAACCCUGAUCCAGCCAUGCCGCGUGAGUGAAGAAGGCCUUCGGGUUGUAAAGCUCUUUCGGCGGGGAAGAAAUGGCAACGGCUAAUAUCCGUUGUUGAUGACGGUACCCGCAUAAGAAGCACCGGCUAACUACGUGCCAGCAGCCGCCGUAACAC